rnacentral:tRNA from 1 species
ACAGCAGGUGGCGUAGUGGUUAACCCUGUUGCCUUGCAUUCAGUGCUGGUGAGUUCAAAUCCCUCCUGCUGUA